rnacentral:rRNA from 1 species
AACUUGGAUUUAUUCAAGUGGAAAGUGGCGGACGAGCGAGUAACACGUAAGAACCUGCCCUGUACUCGGGGAUAACCUGGCGAAAGUCGGGCUAAUACCGGAUAGUCUCGAAAGAGUAAAGAUUUAUCGGUACGGGAGGGGCUUGCGGCUUAUCAGCUAGUUGGUGGGGUAAAUGCCCACCAAGGCUAUGACGAGUAACUGGUGUGAGAGCACGACCAGUCGCGAUGGGACUGAGAUACGGCCCAUACUUC